GAUCAUGGCUCAGGAUGAACGCUAGCGACAGGCUUAGCACAUGCAAGUCGAGGGGCAGCACGGUGUAGCAAUACACUGGUGGCGACCGGCGCACGGGUGAGUAACACGUGUGCAACCAACCCCGUACCGGGAGAUAACCCGCGGAAACGUGGACUAACAUCCCAUGAUACUCGAGAGCCGCAUGGCUCUCGAUUUAAAAUUCCGGUGGUACGGGACGGGCACGCGCGACAUUAGGUAGUUGGCGGGGUAACGGCCCACCAAGCCGACGAUGUCUAGGGGUUCUGAGAGGAAGGUCCCCCACACUGGAACUGAGACACGGUCCAGACUCCUACGGGAGGCAGCAGUGAGGAAUAUUGGUCAAUGGGCGAGAGCCUGAACCAGCCAAGUCGCGUGAGGGAAGAAAUGGUCUAUGGCCUGUAAACCUCUUUUGUCAGGGAAGAAUAAGGAUGACGAGUCAUUCGAUGCCAGUACUUGACGAAUAAGCAUCGGCUAACUCCGUGCCAGCCGCUGC
rnacentral:rRNA from 1 species